CCUUCCAUCCAAAAGAACUGUGCUUAAAUUACAGACUUCAGGUUUCCUGGUUUAUGUAAUAAUGCUAGCAGAGUGAAAACAUGGAAGAAGACUAACGUGCCCUGCGCCGAAAAUGAAACUCGGUCGGACCUCUUUCUUAAUGUCCGGUGACCUUUGUUUCAAGGUUCAGUGCGACAGUU